rnacentral:rRNA from 1 species
UACGUAGGGGGCAAGCGUUGUCCGGAUUCAUUGGGCGUAAAGCGCGUGUAGGCGGCCAGGUAGGUCCGGUUGUGAAAACUCGAGGCUCAACCUCGAGAUGUCGACCGAAACCAUCUGGCUAGAGUCCGGAAGAGGAGAAUGGAAUUCCCGGUGUAGCGGUGAAAUGCGCAGAUAUCGGGAAGAACACCCGUGGCGAAGGCGGUUCUCUGGGACGGUACUGACGCUGAGACGCGAAAGCGUGGGGAGCGAACAGG